CAGGUGACUCCGGCAAUGGCGCGGGGGCGGAGGAUGCGGGCGGCCGGGCGUGGCACGACUCGCCCAGGCUGCGCUUCCCGACCCGGCCCCGGAGCGAUGGGUCCGCUAGGGCUCGGCGCCGUGAUUUGGCGGGGACCGGGGCAAAGCACCCAGUACUAACGACUCAGCGGGUCCCACUCGCCAAGAGUCGAUUUUCGUCCUCACCACAGACUUGGGAGGGAGGUCUUAUUUUGCUAAUGAGAAAACGGAGGCUCAGAGGGGUGAGCCGAUUUGCCCGAGGUCACACAGGAAGAGGCGGAAUUCCUAGCGAGUGUGGGCGUGCACCCGUUGCUCAGGUUCCCAGAACGCUGGGCCGUUUGUUAGAUGCUCUUUUCCUGCAGGUGAGUAGGGACCGUGGUGGAAUUGGUUGCUAAAUACACUAGGAAGUUCGUGUGGCACGGGGAUUCCAGCCUAGUGUUACCUUAAGCAAGGUACCUCUCGGUGCUCAAUUUCACUCUCUGUAAAAUGGGGUAAUGCUGUUACUUCAUGAGGUUGCUGGAAGGAUUAAGUGUUAAUUCAAGUAAGGCACCUAGGACAACCUCUUUAUCCCUCAUUAGCUAUCCUUAGGCAAGGAGGCAGGGAAGCUUGGAAUAAUUGGCAUUUCA
rnacentral:lncRNA from 1 species